AGUUGAACGUUCGGGUUCCGCGGGACGGGGCCGCCCCGCGAGGGACGGCGCCGCCCCGGGGCUCGUGAUAUCUCAUCUCGCCGCCCGUCGCGAGGCGGACGGAGGGAUGGAUGAGGUUACCUGGAAAAAAUCGGGGCGAUCUAGGCGGGCGAACCUCGCCAACGAACGAUCGGACAUGGGAUAACGGAAGAGGGCGUCGGCUCGACUUCGUCGGUUCCUCGGGCCGAGGCACGUACGGUGAAUAGGGACGGUCGGGGCCGCCCGUACCGGGUCGUGAGAGGUGAAAUUCUAGGAUCGACCCGAGACGAACCGCCGCGAAAGCAUUCGGCAAGGACGCUUUCAUUAAUCAAGAACGAAAGUCGGGGGAUCGAAGACGAUCAGAUACCGUCGUAGUCCCGACCGUAAACGAUGCC
rnacentral:rRNA from 1 species